rnacentral:lncRNA from 1 species
AAAGAAUCGCAUUGAUUCUCUCAUAGCAGAUAUUGGUAAUUGGGGUGCAACUGCAGUUACCAUACAUGGUAGAUCACGUCAACAGCGCUAUAGUAAACUUGCUGACUGGGAUUACAUCUACCAAUGUGUACAAAUGGCUCCCAAGGCUUUACAAGUCCUUGGAAAUGGAGAUGUAUUUUCUUAUUUAGACUGGAACAAGCACAAAACUGUCUCCCCUGAGCUUUCCACAUGUAUGGGCCCCCAAGUCUUUACAAGUCCUUGGAAACGGUGAUGUAUUUUCUUAUUUAGACUGGAACAAGCACAAAACUGACUCCCCUGAGCUUUCCACAUGUAUGAUUGCCCGAG